UUUUCUUUCCAUUGUUAUCCUAAUCUUGAGUUAAGUCUUUUAUGGAUUCCAUCAAACGGAUUGGCUUCCAAAUCUUAAGAAAAAUGAAGAAAAGGAACCCCAAACGUUAUGCAAACUCUGAUCUGGAAGAAAUUAGUGUUGUGGAGUAUGAUUUCAUUACCCUUCAGAAUGCAACAAAUAACUUCUCUGAGAAAAACAAGAUAGGAGGAGGAGGUUUUGGUGUUGUAUACAAGGAAUUUGGUGAGGCUUCUUGGUUUUAGCUUGGAAGGAAAAGAAGUGCUUUUGGUAUAUGAAUUCGUUCCCAAUGGCAGCCUUGACAAUUUUUUAUUUGUUAAAUGUUCACAUGCAGAUCCUGUA